GGAUCGUUAGCUCAAAGCCAGUAGAGCGUCCGGUUGAAACCCGGAAGACCCUGGUGCGAACCCGGGACGAUCCA
rnacentral:tRNA from 1 species